rnacentral:lncRNA from 1 species
GACCGACGAUUUUAGACAGGUUAUUAAGUACAUAUCAAUAGAUUAGCAAAAGGGUGUAUGUAUCUGCACAGUCCCCCAAGUUUUGUUCCAGGUGCUACAGCCUGAAAACGUGGAGAAAUGAGCUCCUCUGAGCGACCCCAGCUGUGGUCCCAUCGCCUGGCAAAUCCCUUCCUUAACUCCCGGUUUAUAGUACUUGUGUCAUGAAUCGGUAUGUCUAGAAUUCUCUUCUUCAUUUGUAUAAUGUAUGCAUGGCUAAAUAUCUCCAUGGACUGUUUUCUGUUGCUGACAGCUGACUUAAAAAACAAACGAUUAAAUGCAUUCAUGGCAUUAUUUUUUUUACUAUUUUUUAUUGAGGCAUAUAGCUUUGCUUACAUUUGUAAUAACAAGAGCUGUAUUUCAUGUCUGGCGAGAUCUGUAACUUCACAACCCCCUGCGUUAUUUGCAAGAGACGUAAAACCAAUUAUUUUGCAAGCUUGCACCUUUAUCACUCUGACCAUUAGCAGUAAACCAAACACGUGUCUCAUCAGUCAUUUCGCUCACUCCUUCGACAUUCGAGCCUUAAGAUUUUCAGAGCGCUUGCGUUUUCACCCUCCGUCGAGCGUCAGGUAAGCUUACGACGUGGACAUUGCUCUAAACAGUUAUGCAUUUUGCCUGUUCUCUCUGUUUCCAAAUCACGUUUGGAAAUGGUUUGUUUUAUUCCAGAAUUUGUACUUCCAAAUAUUUACACAUAACAGAUGUAUUUCCAUUCACUCUUCUCUCUUAAAUAUAAAUUUGAAAUAAGUUGCAUUACAGUACCAGAGUUUUCAUUGUAUUUCUGAUGAAACUUUAACAAUAUCAACAGAUAUUCCGCUAAUAAUUAAUCUGCCUCUACCCAUGUUUAUAGGAAGGUAUCGGACUUAUCUCAAUUGACCCACUAUGAGUGACACUGUGGAAUUUCCCACACGGUGCAGUGGGUUAAGGAUCCUGCACUGCCACAGCUGUGCACAGGUUCAGUCCCUGGCCCAGGAACUUCCACAUGCUGCGAAUGUAACCAAAAAAAAAAGGGGGGGAUAUUGUCAACAAAAGUGGGGUUUUAUUGGUAUUUUAAAAACCUCUGUGUUCAAACACUAAUUCACAAAGGGUUCAGCAGAAGGAGGAAGAAAGGAAGGGAGGAAGGAAGAAGGAGAGAGGGAGGAAAAAUCUGCUUUGCCCAUGUUUCAUCCCCCUUAAGAAACAGCUGAGACUGCAAAACCCCCUUAAAAGUCAGUGAAGUACUUUGCAGAAAGAUUAAACUAGAGAGAAUUGCAGCAGGGAGGCGUGAAACGUUUUCUGGGAGCUGCUAAGAACUCUGGCUUCAGACCUUUCAUGUCUGGGUCACUUCAUGAGCACCUUCCAGUCAUGAAGACUCCUCUGCUGCCCAGAUCACAUCGCAGUGACUGGCCUUGGGGCUGGUGGUGACCCGGGGUUUUUCCUAAUCCCAAACUUAUUAUUUUGCUCCAUUUCUUCUCCCCCGGACUCCUGUGGUGUUAGAGGGCUCCACUUUGUUUCUUUUCUUUUUUCUUUUUUGGCCGUGCAUGCGGCAUGUGGACGUUCCUGGGCUGGGGGUCAAAUCUGCAGGGCUGCAGGGACCACACUGGAUCCUUGAACCCCUGCGCCACAAUCCUUCUAGGAUUCACUGUAAGUCCACCUUCACUUUUAACUAAAGAAUGAAACAUGACAAUUGACAUAGUUUUCAUUUCAGGCAAAAUCCACUAGUUCCUCAGAAGCACAAAGGCUCUGCCUCUGAACGCUGGAAUGUCUCACAUGGAAAUUGACACCAAAUAUAUCGAUAUAAUGUCAUUAAUGAUAUUUUCUAGAAACCACAACAAAUGUAAUUUUGAACAGGUGCUUAUUGUGUCCCAAAGUACAUGAACAUUUUAUGUACGUUCUUAUCAGAGAGAGCAGAACACAGCACAAAGUGGUCUCUCUUCUGUAAAAUUCUUGACAACAUUCAAGAAAUUUGUAUAUAUAAAUUUGUGUGUGCAUGUAUACACACACAUAGGAGCACAUAUAAACAAACUGAGUACACAGCUACUACCCUUAUUUAUUUAUUCAUUUAUCUUUUUAGGGCCACACCUAUCGUAUACGGACGUUCCCGGGCUGAGGGUUGAAUCAGAGCUGCAGCUGCCAGCCUACACCACAGCCACAGCAACGCCAGAUCCCAGCCUCAUCUGCAACCUACACCACAACUGCCAGCACUGCCAGCUCCUUAACUCACUGAGCGAGGCCAGGGAUCAAACCCACGUCAUCCUCAUGGAAUCAGUCAGGUUCCUUACCGCUGAGUCACAACAGGAACUCCCACAGCAACCUUUAAAUUGUGUGUCUCUUUCUAUUUUUCAAAAUAUUAUAACUCAAAAUCUAAUAACACGGUGCAAAGGAUAUCACAGGCAUUUAUCACCUUCCAGUAGACAAAUUGUUACCAGGCGGCUUAUGCUAAAGAAGUAGAAAGUAAAAAAAAUACUCUGGGAACUCAGGGGAAAGAACUAAAAUAAACUGAGCUGGUAGCUAAAUGUUUCCUGGGGGAUGAACCAUUUGAAUGACAUCUUGAAGAAGAAGUAAAUGUUGAUUAAUACAGAAGACUAGGACAGAAAGAACAGCCUAUGGGAUACAGCAGGAGGCCCUGAUGGGCUGGCCGCGUCCAUCCUGGUCGCUGGAGAGCAGAGCCGCGUGCGUAGAUGGAGGUGUGGCAUGGGCUGGAGGGUUGACAAUGUGUCCAUUGAACCAAGAGCAGGAGGUCAAAGGUUUGCCUCGUUGAAGAGGAAGAAAAGAGAGGUUAUCGUUGAUCACAUGACCAGGGGUUUCAGGGAAAGAAACAGUAGCAUGUGAGGCUGGGUUAAGGUCGACGGACCAGGGAAGAAGACCACUUGGGGAUCCAGGCUGCCAUCCAGAAAGUGGUUAUACCACCACUUCAGGGACCCCACCAUCACGUUGGCUGUUGUACUGCGUAUUUCGCUACCACUUUCAUUGUAAUUUGCUCUACCAUGCUUCCAGUCUCUGCAGCAUUUCAGCGAUCGGCUACUUCUAGGAGAGCUUGCCUUUUUCCCCUUGUGCCUUUUUUUGCCCUCGACUCAUCUUUGUUCUUCCUGCUCUUUUUCAGGGCUCCUGAAGGAUGAGCCCAGCAGAACUUGAAUCUGAUGGCAUUUCUACACCGAACAGUAGGAUGCCAUGCAACUCGGAAACCAAAAUAGCCUCACCGCAUGCCUAUCUCCGUUGUUUGCCAUCCCAGGGAGAAUCAAAGCCAUGUUCACUUUUCUUUUGACGCAAUUCCAUUUGGAGGUGCAAGAUUUAAACAUAAAACAGCAACUUAGAGUAGCCUCAUUUUACAAACUUAGAAAAUGAGCUUCACAAAGUUAAGGUUCUUCCUCAAAGGCGUAGAAACACGACUCAAAGCCCACUGAAUCUGAAACUUGCGAUUCUUCUCACCAAGCGCCUUUCCAUGAUAAUCACAUUUAUUGGGUUGUCCGGAGUUGAGGUGUCUGGAAGUUGAAUAGCUGACUGUGUUCCUAGGAUCCCGCUCUCCGGAGAGAGAGAUGCCCUCUUACUUAGGAUAACAGCAGUGGAGGAGUUUGCGGGUAAAGGUCACCAAAAUCCUUCAAAUGCCAAUUAGUCUCCGCUGACAGCUUUCUCUCAAAGUGCGGAAAUGAGCGGCCUCCAGGUACUCACCCUGAUUCAUUCAUUUGUUAGCCUUUGUUUAGCCGGAGGGGGAUGGAGGACUCUGCUAAAAUAAUAAACAGCCAACUUUUCUUUGUGUCUUCCAAUAUCCAUCGCAUUUGGCAGUAGGGUUUAUUGGAGGAAAGAUCAUUAUUUUAUGCAUUUUUGGGUAGAAACAAUAAAAGGCCACUGAAUGGUUUUACACAAAGGACCUCUAAUGGCUGUAGAUCGUUUGCGAAAGUGAUACUUACCCAGCGCUGCAGAUGGUGUGAAAUGAUAGGCUUUUAGUUUAUCAUCUGGACUCACAACAACUAGAAGACUACAAAAGUUAUUUUUGUAUUAAAGCGCUUGCACACGUCGGUAAGUGAAGAAUUUGAACCUUAGAACAUAUUGAUCUCAAAAUGCACAGUGAUCCAGACACCAGUGAGUCAGACAAUGAGAUCAAUCUGCGGUCAUAACAACCAUUUUCACUGGGAAGGAAACUAUGUGCAGAGAGGGUGGGGUCCCUUGAAAGGCAAGUGAAAUAAAAGUUGCAUCUUCAUAAAUUUGGGUUCAAAGACUCUGAUUUGAAAGGCAGUUUUAAGGUGAAAGUCAUCUGAGAUUUCUGUGAAAGCUGGAUCCGUCUUGCCACGGGAUUCACUAAAAAACGCCUAUCUUUCCCAUAUGGUCAUUUGCUGCAUCUCUAGCCUUACUCUGCUGGUUUCUGCUGGGCCAGUGAUGAAAUCUUUCUGCAGACAGAACCCUGCAGAGCAGGACACAGACUUCCCUCAUAGCUGACAUCGAUUUGCUUUGGUGUUUAUUUGACAAUUAUCAGAUCUACUGUCUUAGCUGAGAGUGAGAAUCUUUGAAGCAAUCAUUUAACCCUACCCUUGGCUUUAAUUCCAGAACAACCUGCGUCUAGCACACAGGCAGUCAUCUUGCAUGGCUCCAAAAAAAGAAGAAAUAAACACACACACACACACACACACACACACACACACACACACACUCAUAGCAAUACAGAUGUAUUUUCUAGUAUGGACUCACUAUUCUCACUGCUGUGAUGGGAAUCCUUAGCGUCAAAUUGUGGAAAGAAGCAGGAAUUGCCCCAAAUAACCAUGUGAUUUUAUCCAAGAAGGUAUCCUUACUGGUUGACUAUUUUCACUUCAUACUCCUUGAGCAGACUGUCCACUCUGUUUUCAAAGACCAAUGUAGGAAAAACAAACAAAUGAACACACAUUAAAUUCAACCGGGUAUUGAAAACAAUGACAAUGAGAAUGUAAUUAUGGACCGUGAAACUGAGCAGGACCCUGUGGGGCUCCUGGGCAUAAAAACAUUUCUGUGUCCCUCAUUUCUCAUCUGUAGAAAACAGGCCUCAUUUAACCUCCCUGACCUUCCCUGAACUCCAAGGGCAGAUUCAGACAGGUGCUCAUCAGGGAAGAGCGGGGAUGCAGAGACCAGGGAGGAGCCAUCAAGACACAAUAGUGCAGCCUGGGGCCUGGGGGCUGGUUCCCCCUCAAGGAAUAUACAAAACAAUAUCUUUGAGCUCUUCUGCAGAACUGGGCAAAAGAAAGAUGUUAACUCCCUGAGGAUGCUUCUUCCCUCCAGACCUCCGAACCCGUCCCAGGGCCACCAAAGGCCAGCCCCAGCCGGCUUCAAAGAAGAGCGCAUCUACCCCAAUCCUUCCCUGCGGCCCCUUUUCCACUGCCAAAUUCUAAGACCCCUUCCCAUUCUCUCCCAAAGGAGGGUACAGUCUUUAGGGCACUGGCCUGCUGUGGCCUCCUUUGCCUGGCAGAGCAAUAAGCUCUUCAUUUCUCUUUUGCUCAAAACUCCGUCUCCACCUUUCUCUUCACUCCCAGUGGACAGACUAAGUGUUGGCAAUGAUAACAAUGGAAGAAAUAAGGUAUCCGUUUCUAUUGGUUUUAAUAAUUUACUGUCUAUCUGAGUUGAAAGAACUAGAAACUAGCAGGCAAUUCUGUAGCACACAAUAGCUUUGAGGUGAUCAGCAUUGAUAGGCAUCAUUUUUCUUUUGCCAGCAAUGCCACAAGAAGCUAUAAUCCUCUUUCCAGGCAAAAGCCAAUAGGAGUUCCCUGGUGGCUCAGCAAGUUCAGGAUCCAGCAUUGUCACUGCUGUGGCUUGGGUCCAGCCCCUAGCCUGGGAACUUCCACAUGCCAAGGGUAUAGCCAAAAAAAAAUAAAAAUAAAAA